GGCGAGAUGGCCGAGUGGUCUAAGGCGCUAGAUUUAGGCAAUUCAAGCUGAAUCUCAGCUGAGUUCUCUGUUCUCUAGUCUUUCGGGGCGUGGGUUCGAAUCCCACUCUCGUCA